GGCUCAGUACAUGCUGCAAGGACUCAGUGUGGCCUGCCAGAGAUGACUGAUGUAUUUCCUUGUGUCUGCUUAUACACGCAUAGGGGCUGCACUUUCAAUUAACUCACACAGUCUGGGGAUGAACUGGAAAAUAAAAUGGUAAAAAUCAAGCCCCAAGAGGGUUUUACAGCCUUUCACAAUGUAGAUAAAAACUAGGUGUUUAUUUUCUAAUUCAUCAUAGGUGGAAGAAAAGUGUCACAUGAAGAGGAAAGGAAAAGAAACCGAUGAGAAGAUCCGAGGCUCUGUCAGACCGAUGGAAAUAAGACUGACUGUAACCAUGUUCGGCUGCUGACAGUGUGAAAUUGAGUUGUACGCUGGACAGAAGACAAGCAGUCAAGAGAAAUCCCCAAAGCUUCUCAAAAGCAGAGAUUUUCCUUUUGAGAUAAUGAAAAUCCAAUUCCCACAUUCGGAACAAUGUACGGUUUUUGGAGAAAACAUGAUUGGCUCCUUGUACCAUCAAGGCAUAUAUGAUCAGCCUGGGUGUUUCAUCAUCGCCCUCUUCCUGCUCACGUGGCUGUGCAGCAUUCAGGUAUGUGUCUGUUAAUCUCUGUGU